rnacentral:lncRNA from 1 species
CUGCUUAGAGCAAAUAACAACAGCUUGGAUGUGAGAUUCUUGUAAAGGAGUGAAGAUAAACUCAGGUUUCGGUACUGAAGGGAAGGUGAACCUGAGGUUUUGAGCAGAAGAUUGUAAAACACUAGUGAAGGAAGAGUUUUUUGGAGUAUACAAGACAGUGGAAAAAGGAAAGGAUGAUUCUGAAGUUCUUGAGAGACAUUUCAGAAACCUAUCCUGAAGUGCAUGUGAAACUAUAAAUGGAGAUAGGAGUAGGACCAGAAGUAUUGAAAGUAUGGAAGAACUUGAAGGCACCAUUUUGCUUGCUUUCUUGCUUCUUUGUUGUCUUCAAGAAUUGAAGUCUCAAGGUGCUCUUAUAGAGGAUCUGUGAGGAGUUGAUCGUAAAUUGGUUUAAUCAUUACAUUAUCCUAGAAAUAUAAUAUUACUCUGAAUUCUUUGUAGUUAAAUUUUUAAUUAUGACAUUAGAAUUGAAUUGUGAUUCUAAACAAUUGAUAUAUAUGUGAUCUAAAUCUUUUAUGUCAAUUUUUUUGGAUAUAUAUUGUUAGAUGAUAAUAUAAAUUAUUUUUUGAAAUUUUAUUUAAUAGCUUAAGUUAUUGGAUUAAUAUGGUUAUUUAAUAUGAUAUUAAAUUCUUAAUAAUUAAGCGGUUACAAGUUUGAAUCUCAUUAAUCAUAUUUAUUUGAUAAAAAUUAAGCACAAGGUAAUGUGAGUAUGUAUAAAUUUCUAGAUUAAAAGGUUUUAACUUAAAAGAAUAUAUAAAAAAAUAAUAUAAUUUAUAUAUUGAAAUCACACCUCAUUGUUUAAAUUAUUAAAUUGAUUUAGAUAUUAGACGUGUAUAAUUAACCAUUCAUGAAACAUAUUUGAUUGGCCAAAACAUGCACGUGUCUAUUGGAAGUUUUAGUUAAUUAAACGUGUCAAACUGUCUUGCAUAACUUUCUUGCAUUUGGGAAGGGUAUAUUUUUUUAUUGAUAAUACGUGAGCCAACGUCAGCAGAAAGGAGAGGAUACGGAAGGCUGUAUUCCGAAUCGAUGUCGGAAUUGCACAAAUACAAAACAGUGUUCUUGUCUAUAGGUUUUUGUUAGCUGUCAAUGCCUGUGUAUCUUCAUAACUAGCUGCUCCAUGAAGGUAAGAUAUGAAUAUAGGUUAGGCACAACUAUCAGCGCCAUCGGUGGGGUCUAUUUUUUUUUUUUUGGAAAGAUGUGUAUAUUAUUUAAACGCCAAAGCCUGGCGGGAGUAGUACAGAAACUACACAAUAUCUUACUAUGGCAAAAAGCCAUAAAUAGGAUAAAGCGCAGAAUAAGAAAAACAAAAGCAAAGAAAACCUUAGAAUAGCCAUCCGAAUGAGCUCGAAGCUAAACAAUCCUCUACAAAACAAAAAACGAAAAUAACUCAAAGACAUAGUGGGAGAAGACACAAGAGCAAGGCCAUAAAAAAAAAAAAGUGUAGUCAAAGCCAGGCAACAAAAUCACUUGAUCUCUGCACUCCUUGUUUAGCCAUGCAAUCUGUCAUGCAAUUACUUUCACGGAAGAUAUAGGAGUAGGUGAUUGAACCAAAAUAUGAUGGCUAAUGGGAUCAAUCUUCAUCGGUGGGGGUCUAUCAUCUUGUCUCUGGCCCUCUGCUGCCUCGGGCAACGAUACCUUUGCCUGAUGGGAUGCAGAAUCAUCCUGAUGCUCUGCUGCUUCACCCUUCUCAAAGUGAGCUGACACUGCAUGUAGGUGGGAGGCAGUAUCCGUCAAUGGAUGCCCCUAUGGUUCACUACCAUACAAUGAAUUAUACCCUCUUCUCUGUAUAGAAGGAUCAGUCCUGGCUCCCUGUUGUGUACGAACCAUUCUGCAAUAUUUGUUGUGUACGAACCAUUCUGCAAUAUGUUUUCAAAUUCACAUCAAUAUUCCAAUCCUUGAAUUUUCCACCAAAUGCUUUGAUACUAAAUUGUAACAUCUCAAUUACAGUUACAACACACCAAUAAUAUUAUAGGAAAAAAAAACAUGGUAAAUCUUUUUUUAAAAAAAAAACAAAGUCAUAAAAGGUUCACCAAAAUUUCUAUUGAAAUUUUAGCACAGUCUCCUCUAUACCGGAAAGAUCCAAGUUAUUGGCAAACAACAUAUGUAUUUUUAUUAAUUAUUAUUCAAUCACGACUCAAUCAUCCUGAAUCUCAAUUUUCAUCAACGCUUAUUGAUACAAUCAUAAUUUUUCUAAUAUCCAAAUAAUAACAAUGAGUAUUAAUUAGUACUUAAAUGAGAAAAAAAAAUAGACAUACAUGGAAAUUAUGAAUACAUGAUAAUUAAUAUAAAUUAUGUUCAGACAUUUUAUUUAAAAGAUAUUAUUACAAUUUAAGUCAUAAUAGUUUCUUUAGAUACAAAAUACAUUAGUAUUUGUUUAGUUCUAAUAAAUGACAGAAAAGAUAGAGGAUCGAAAAUAUUACUCUUGUCGUGAAUAUGAUGGACCUGAAACAAAUAUAAGAUUGAAAAAUAAUUAUCAUAAAAGCAAUACUAACAUUAAUAGUCAAAAUAUAUAUAUUUAAGGCUACAUACUAUCAUAUUCUUUACAAUUUGCCAUCUAAUCCCCUUUUAAUAUUUUUGGAUUUAUUCCUUCUGGAUUUACUAACACUUUCUUUUCCACUUCUAAAUUUUCCAACCAAUGUCAUAUGUUAAUGCUGAAGGAUAAUUUCUUAAAAAAUGUCGCUACCAAUUUAAUGGUACCAUCAACUAUCCUCAAUAGAAUUGCUAAUCAAAUCUCUUCUUCCCCAAAUCUUAGGACGGUAAUGUCGAUACUAAUAAAUGUCAUUAGUAUCAUUAGUCGCUCUUAUUAGAACCGACUAAUCAAGUUUGUCGCAAAUGUCAAUAUUAAUACAACUCAUUGAUGUCAUUAACUAUUUCUAACAUGAAAUAGUUAAUAAAAUUUCCAUAAAACUUUGAAAUAUCUCCGAGAAUGUUGAUGUCAAAGAUUCUUGAUAUCAUUAGCUUUCACAUCAGGAAUAACUAAUCAAUUUUCAUGGAAUUGCUGAUAACAAUGUUGUCAUUGAUAUCAUUAACUAUUCUUAACCUGAAUAGUUAAUCAAGUUCACUUAAAGUAACUUUAAAAUUGGAAUAUGUGUAACUAAAACAACAUUAUUGAAAAUUAACUAUAGUAAUACCAAUUGCACAAAGAAUUAUUUGCGAGUGGGAGACUAUAGUAAAAUUUUAAAAGAAAAUACUCACUUCUUUUUAUAACAACAAAUAACAGUAAUACGUUAUAAGGUGAGGAUGAUAUUGCUAGAAACUAGUAUAUUGGUCUUUGUUCCAUUUCGGGUAGAUUGAUUUUUUGAAAAAAUGUAAAUAAAACAUUAAGAGCACAGAGAAUUUUUUUUUAACAAUGUUAUUAAACCUGAUCAAGAGGGUUUAUUUUGAAACCUUUCGACUCAACUCUUGCUUAACUCAAGUUUUUAAUUAAACCAUGUGAGAGUUAGCUUGACUUAAAUCGAUUAAUUUUAUAGGUUUAAAUGUAACAUUGAUGAUCAAUAAAAACGUGACUAGUUAACUUUAAAAAAAAAAUUAUGAUAAUUUUAUUUUUUAAAUAUUAAGACAAUGACAGAUUGGAUCGACCUCGGUCCCCCGCGACCCGGGUCAUGAACUCUAUUAGGUUUAGUAACUUUUUCUUAUAAACCUUUUUUAUUUAAUUAUAUAAUAAAAAUAGAUGCUCAUAAAAUUGAGUACCAACCUAUAAAAAGACACUUAUUUGAGACAAUUAUCCAUAGAAAGCAAACAAGAAUCAAUAAUACAAUUCAUUUCCUAACCAAUUCAAUAUUCAAUGAUGAAAUAAAAAAAAUUAAAAAAAAUUAAAAGAUCAUAAACAAAAGCAAAAAAACAUAUUCUAUCGGUGGGUAAACUCGUCAAACUUGUGAAUCGGGUAAGCCAGGCUAGGAUGCCAAAUUUAUGAACUAGGUUAUGAUUUCCAGUAUCCUUUAAAUUUUUUUUAUAUAUACUUCAUCAAAUAAUUUGAAAAGUUUCAAAUGACAAGGGCACGUAGUUAAAGCAAUCAAAUUGAAAAGUUGCCUGAAACAUUUAGAAAUAAGUAAUCUUAAAUUCGGUCAGUUUGACAAGUGUUACAAUUCAUGAUUUUAUUAUCAAAAGAAAAAUUAAUUCGGUCAGUAAUCUUAAGUAAUCUUAAACAUUUAGAAAUAAGUAAUCUUAAAUUCGGUCAGUAGUCUUAAAUUUUCAAAAUAAAAAUCAUACAUAGACUCUAAUUCAUGAUUUUAUUAUUUUUUUAAUAUUUUAUCCUUAAAAUAAAAAAAAAUAAAAAAAAUCAUAAUAAAAAAACAAAUAAUAAAGGAAAAGAAAAAAAAAACAUGUGUUAAAAAAACAAUAUAAAAAAUAUUGUAACAAUUCAUAGGUUUCAUGAAGAAAACGUGUUUUUCUCGCGUUUUCUAGCUUUUUAUAUAAUAUAAUAAUUUUGAAAAGUUUGAAAUGACAAGGCACGUAGUCAAAGCAAUCAAAUUGAAAAGUUGCCUAAAACAUUUAGAAUAAUUGUUUUGGAGACGCAGCUAAAGAAAUGUAAGAAUAAAGAAACCAGAAUUUUCAAAAGAAAAAUCAUAGACAGACUCGAAUUCAUGAUUUUAUCAUCUCUUUUAAUAAUAUUCUACCCUAAAAAAAAAAUUACAAUUCAAUUAAUAGGCUUGAAACUAACCUUUACAAAAUAUAAAUAGUGAAGUUUUAAUUCAAAUAGAAAGUAGCAUGGAAUCCAAAAAUAAAACUAAAAAUUCAAAAUUAAUCAGAAAAUUAAUAAAACUGCAACUUCAUGAGCUAAUUUUAAGAUUUUUUAGAUGGUCGUUAACUUUAAAGCUCGUGAAAUUAGUUGAAAUAUAUAUAAUCUGGUCUGGAUAACCACAUUAAUUAAAAAAAAACCUUUUAAUUAGAUCUAAUCUCGUUAUAACGAUUUAACAACCUUUUAACCAAUUUAAUCACAAUCCAAUGUUAAUCAAAUCAAACGUGACAUGCCUUUCCGUCAUAGAGGAUGAUAAGUAAAAACAAUAUUUUUAUAUCUUAUUGAGAAUUAAGUUUCUUCUUUGACUUUAACCCGUAAAAACAGCAUUAUUGAAAAUUAGCAGUUGCGCAAAGAAUUAUUGGCUCUCUGUCAUAUCUUACAAACAAAAUACUCACAUGUAAAAGAUCUUAAAACUAUUAGGAUAAUACUGCUAGCAUUGUACGUAUGAUGAAUUUCUUUUACAGUCAAUCUUUUGAAAAGUUUAAUAUGACAAGGUGCAUGCAUGCAAGUAGUCGAAGCAAUCAAAUUUGAAAAGUUGCCUAAAGCCGCAUGUAAUCUCAAAUUUGGCCAGGAUGAAAAGCGUGCUAGAAAAUCAAAGGCGUCCACUGAGUUGGGUUUAACUUGAAAACUAGUAAAUGACAUCUAAGCAGGUAUACAUUUCACCCAAGCUAAUUUGUCAAUUGCACAAUUAAUCUGAUUUUGUCCAUGGCCUAACCUUUUAUAUAUAUAUAAUAAUAAUAGAGAGUAUAUUGAAAAGACUACAAAAUCAAUAAUCAAAAUAAAAUACAUUGAAAAGACUACAAAAUCAAUAAUCAAAAUAAAAUACAGGGACAUAAAAAAAACAAAAAAAAAACUGAUCUGUUUCAAUAAAAACAAAGAAAUUAUCUAAGAUUUUUUUAUUAUACCAUAAUUUAAUGUCAUCAGAAGAUCUUAAAAUAUCAUUUCUUGUAUAAGUGAAGUUUGAAUCCAAAAUAAGCAAUCAAAUAGCAACUCGACGAGAAAAAGUAACACUAUUAAAAAUUUUGUUUCUUAACAAUCAAAUACUCCAAAAUAAUCGAGAUGGAGAAAUAAUCAAAUAAGUUUAUAGUUAUCUCAUCAAAAUUAAUUUUGUUUCUUAACAACCAAAUACUCCAAAUAACAUUACUGAAGAUUAGUCUUCAAACUAACCUUUAGAAUUUCUCUUGCACCAUUCUGGCCAUUAAUGGCCUAACCUUGUCGAACAACUUGUUCCAAUGAGAUAAAUUAUUAUAUAUCAAAAGCUGCCAUCAUUGAAUUAAAAUCAUCAAAUAAAAUAACAACUUGUGAAGCCCCAAGAAAACGAUGUCCAGAAAAAACCAAAUCAUCUUGUAGCAACCUCGACUAUAAAAUAUUAUAGAUGACCCUGUUUAUUUUUUAAAAUUUUAUUUUAGUUCUUAAAAUUUUAUUUUGUACGAUUUGAUUCUGAUUGAAAGCCAAUUAAUUCGGAUUUUUUAGGCAAAUGAUGAAGUGGAAGAAUAGGGAUCAAAAUUAAAAAGGCACCAAAUAUAGAUGGCUCGCUAGAAGUUUUGGAAAAGAUACACUUUGAUCCUUUAACUUUAAAAAUAACACAAAUUAUAGAAUUUUUAUGCCUUGAUUUUUUUCCAAUUUAAUUUAGUAUAAAAGUUUAUUUUUAUUAUUUUUUAGUUCCUGGUUUAGAAAGGGGGGAGAGAGAAAGAGGUCACUAAGUUCUAGUGAUAGAGAGAUAAUGUUGAGACUAAUUUAGGCCUCCAAAAUGGUCGAUAUUUAUGUCAAAUGAUUUCAUUUGAUGAGGGAAGUUUAUAUAAGAUGUUUUUUUUUUUUUUUACCUUUUAACGUUGUGACAAAACAAAUCUGAGCUUGGUUUGAUUUUUGGUUUCAGGUUGAUUUUGAUUCAUGAGAUGAUUUUUUGGUUUUUUAAGGCUAUGAAUAGGCUAGGCCGGGUUUAUCACGGUUUCUAAAAUGUUUUUUUUUUAUAUCAAGAACAGGUUGAAAAACAUGUUUUGGAUCAAAAAAACAUAAAUCUCAAUUUUUCAGACAUUUGAUGAUUAAUUGCAGAUAUCAAUUAUUUGAGGACCAUUUGGGAUGAAAGUCCAAGUUAUUUCCAGAAUUUUUUUAACAUCACGAAAAAUAAUUUUGAGGUAUACUAUAAAAGAAAAACUUGACUCCUCGGAGAAAAAACUUGUAUAAUGACACAAAAAUAAGCAUUCAAUAUAUGAAUAAUCAAGUAUUUAAUUUUGGGUGUCUAGUGUUUGGAGGACAAGGAAGGCCGAAUAUAGAUUUAGCAAAGUGGAGGGGGCAAAUUAUAAUUUUGAUUUUGAGGGAGGAUUUGAGAAAUUCUUUAAACUUGGGGAGCGCCAAGGCCACCCCUAAAUCCAUUCGUGAAGACAAGAUUAACAAGGGAUAUUAAAAAAAAUCCCUAUAAAUGGUGCAAUCAAAAUUAGACUAAAAUGUUUAAAAUAUAAAGUUGAGGGUCCAAAAUGAAAUUAACCUCAAAAAUGCAUCUAUCAACAUUUUAGACCUUAAUUCACGUGAUAAGUAAAUUUACUCUUCAUAUUAUUAGUUUAAGUUUUCAUUAAAAAAUCCCAGAAGAAUUUGUUUUAAAUUAGAUUGUGUGUUUCAAAGCACACCAAAGAGAUUUAAUCUCAUCAUGUGAAAACCUAAAUUAUAAAUACUCUAAUCUUUGAAAAGAAAAAUUAAAAAAAAAAAGAAUCUUGAAUUUUUUUCCUUCAUCAUCUGUAAUAACAAAAAAGAUUUACCAAAUGGGCUUUAUCCCAUUUUGAGGAUAGGCACAAAUAUCCAAAUAAUGAUUUAUUUUAUUGUAACAAUAAAGGUUCAAAUGACGCAGAUUUACUAAAUGGGUUGUAGCCCAUUUUGAGAUGCUCACUAUAGUCUAUCUGACAAGUCCAGUCCAAUCCUUAAGCUCUAAAUCAGUAAAAAAAGAAAAGAAAAACGUACCUUUCUUGCAGCUCCUUGAGAUGCUUCAACCUGACAUCGUCUCCCAAAACACAAAGAGAGUAGUUGUGGUUUUAUAUAUAUAUAUAGUAAAGUUCAAGUUUUAAUGAUUAUAAUUUACUUAUUUGUAUGCUGAGAAAAAAACAAUUUUUUAUACAUAAAAAAAAUAUUUAGGUUUUAGAGAAGUGUUGAAAAAAAAUUCAUCAUAAUAAUUCUUUUUACUGUAUUUCUUGUUUAUUUCAAUGAAUGCAUAGUUUUUAACUAGAAUUAUUAUUUCUACUUAAAUAAGUAUUUUAUGAUUGUUACAUCAAGUUAAUAAAAAAAUUCAAAAUAGUAUAUACAUAUUUUAUGUGUGAUUAAAACAAAAAAAUCAUAAAUAUAACAAAGUCAAGUUCAGAAUUUAUUUAAAAAAUUUAAGAUUAAAAAAACAUAUGAAUCGAUUUUUUAUGAACAAUUUAUUAUUAGUAUUAUUAUUUUAAUUUCAUAUUAUAUACAUAUAGCUAGUUGAAUAAAAUUAUUAAUAUUAAAAAAUAAUAUUUAAAUAUGCACACUGACCAACUAAACUAUUUGCAUGCAAAUUUGUUGUCAUAUGAAAUAAAUAAAUAUAUCAUGUGGAAUAAAUAAAUAUACUAACCUGCUUCAAUUUAUUAUAAUUUUAGAGUUUUAAUGAUGGAGAAAUAUAUCAUAUUAUAUAGUCCAAGAUUCAACGGAUCAUUCAAUAUAUAUAUAUACCAGAUUUGAACCUCCAACAUUUAAAAUUUUUGCUUUUCUCAGAAAUUCUGUAGUAAAGUUCGCCAUUCGUGGCACCCGCCUGAACCCACGCGCUGUUGUGCUCAAUCAACGCUGAUAGACCGUAGCUUUGCAAGGUCUACAACAAUGAAAGAUGUCUCAAUUUCUGAUACAUAAGAGAGUCCCUCAUAAUCAUGGCCUCCGCUACGGACUCUAAUGUGAAUUCCAAGCUGCUUAGAGCAAAUAACAACAGCUUGGAUGUGAGAUUCUUGUAAAGGAGUGAAGAUAAACUCGGGUUUCGGUACUGGAGGCAAGGUGAACCUGAGGUUUUGAGCAGAAGAUUGUAAGACACUAGUGAAAGAAGAGUUUUGUGGAGCAUACAAGACAGUGGAAAAAGGAAAGGAGUAGGACCACAAGUAUUGAAAGUAUGGAAGAUCUUGAAGGCACCAUUUUUCCUGCUUUCUUGCCUCUCUGGCUUGCCUUCAAGAAUUGAUGUCUCAAGGAGUUCUUUUAUAGAGGAGCUGUGAACAAUCAACAGGAAAUUAAAUUAUUUUGUAGCUGGUUUUGUGCAGUGAGAUAUUUACUUGUGAUAUUACAGUGGGAUUAUAUAAAUUUGAAUGAUUCAUAUUCCAUGCAUUAUAGUCAAACUUUUAGACUUUAAAUGUUUAAUUAAUUAAACACAUCUUCCAAUCAUAUUAUACAUAUCAUUAUAGCUGAAGUGAAUAAAUCAAAUUAUUGAGAAUUGAUUUGGAAAUUAACAUAUUUUGGCGCUAUUUUCUUUUAUAUGAAACAGCGCGUUUUGUUCAAAACAACACACUUUCAUAUACUGUUAAAAAAAAAACCAAAACGGUCUUUUUCCCUGACGUGCGAAGGCAGGGGAAGAAGGUUUUUCUUCCCCUCCUUUGCAGCACCCAUAUUCCCUCUUUCUCCCUCUCCCUACUUGUCCAAACCCUGACACAACUCAUGCCCCUCCCUUGCCAUCAUGAUGAUACUCUGCGGCUGAAGCGACUGCAUAGAGGCCACCCUAGCCACUCUACCUUGUCUCCAUGAUUGGACAAAGGUAGGGAAGCUCUUGCUUCCCCUAUCAUAUAAAUACCCCACUCAACAGGCCGAGAGCAGGGGAAAAAGAAAAAACAGGGGAAACAUAAAAGAUAGAUGAAAGAGAGAGAGACUCAAACAGAGAGAAGGAGGGAAGAAAAAGAACAAAACAAAUCGAAGAUAAAAAAUAGAGAAACAGAGACAGAGAGGAGAGAAACAAAGGGAUUGGGAAGGAACAAGAAGCAAAGGAAAAGGAAAGACAUAAAAAGGGUGGAGAAAUAAAAGAAACAAAACUGAGGGAAGAAGAAACACACAGAAACAAAGGAAAAAAAGAAGAAGAAUUGUCGUUUGGAACAGUCAUCCAUCGCGAGAUCACCGCCAUCGAGAGCCACCAGCACCGUCAGCAAGUCAGGCCCCCCUCUUCUCCUUCUUCUUCUGCUCAUUUUCCCGUCUCCACUGCCCUGUAGAGCAAACAAUGAAAAGCUGCUCCACUGUUAACUAGGUCGGACAAUGCCGGUCCAGACCAAAAUGGAUGAGUCGGGUCCGACCCAAUCUGAAAGGAAAAAAAACAUAUGGUGGGCCAAAUCAACCCAACCCCAAUACCUUGGGCCGAACUCAGCCUAAUUUAUUCUAGGCUGAUUUCGGCCCAUCAAGAUGGGCUCAGCCCAAUGUAAUUGGACCCAGCCAAUCCCAAUAUAUUGAUAUAAUAAUGUUAUAUAAUAUAAUAUAAUAUAUUAAAAAAAUUAAAAAAAAAUUUCCAAAUCCUUUGAAAAACUUCUAUGGGAUUUUCUCACAAGUUUUUUUUUUUUAUCAUUUUAGGUUAAUACCGAUUUGUAUUUUUAUACUGUAAAGAUAUAGAUCCGAUAUUAAAAUACCUAGUUUUCUUUGAAAUGUUAAACAAAUUAUAUAAAAAACAAAUAUAUUUUUUUUAAUGCAUACGGCCAAGUCUCUCAAAAAAAAAAAUCAUAUUGGAUUUUCAUACAACAAAAACAAUUACAAAAAAUGUUUAGCAUGUAUUUUGGCUUUAAUAACCAGUUUAUUAAAGCUAGGAGAACUAAGCUAAUAUUUUAAAAAUACCCAAAAAAUAUUUAUUUUUUAAGUAACUGAGAUUAUGAAUUUAUAUGUAAAGCGUAUUCGCGAUGUUAAAAUGUAUUUUUUUAUAGACAUUAGAACGAUUAGGUUUUUACCUGAUAAGAUAAGGACCUCUUUAUCGAGCAGGACUUUUUUUAACCUAUAGAUAGACCAAUAAUUAGAAAACAUAACAAGACCUUAGUUUUUUUUUAUCAGAAGAUUAAACAAUGCAGCUUACCUUAGGUAGGACGUAUUUGGGGUGCUAAUACCUUCCCUUUACGCAACCGGUCUCCAUACCCGAUCUCUGAGACCAGUUAGGGUUUCUAAUGAUCAAAAUACUAGGUGGCGAAUCUCAUUCCUAAAAAAACUGAUAAAAGACAAGAGUUCCUUGUCUGCUCUAUUUUUCGAUAAAAAAAUUGUUAAAAUCCGAUUUACCCUGAACUUUUGAGCUUGGCUAUCCAUAAGCUAUUAUGCUCAUUUCCAACAGUCAUCAUUUUGCUUGUGAGUUUUAACAAAAAAGCUUAUCGGUCUUAGAUCAUGUCCAAGAACUAUAACCUACAAAAAAGAGUUAUUGUUUGUUAAACAUUACAUAUUUUCAUAUAAAACAACAAUCUAAAAAAAAUAUAAAUAAUAAAACAAAAUCUUACCAUCCUCUUUACAAGCGAAAUCAACAAAUUGGAUUUAGUAGAAGUUUCGACACAUGUCAAUUUGCUGGUAUCUUAGGUCAAGGGGUUUCAUCAUGGAUUUAGCAGCAUGUAAGUUCACUUUAGCCUAUUCUCUUUUGAUAAAAUACUUCUUAUCCAUUCGAUAAUUUUUUCAUAACCGCCCUAGCUCAACCCAUGAUUUGACUUAAUGGUGAACACAUGUGCAACGAUCGAUAAUUUACUAUGAUUUGUGGAACCAUACCAUAAUGGUUCGUCAAAAUCUUUCAAUUAGUUCUUCAUCUACAAUUGAACAUUCACAUGCAUUACCCUGAUUCAUUCUCAUUGCAUCCAUAAUCAUACUCCUAUAACGAUUAUUAUUAUCGUUUACAAUUUCAUUCACAUUGCUAGAACUAAAAGUCGACCCAACCAUCCUUGAUACCAUGAUCUUGUAUGGAACAUAUGAUUCUACAUGUGCAAACCAACACAAGUACUUCUCUAAGCACUUUUUUUUUCUAGAAGAUGUAUCGUAAUAACAUCUAGAUCAAGAAACUUUUAUUUUGACACCUUUUACAUGGAAAUUUAAUACCGCAUCCACUAAUAUUUUUGGAUUAGAUAGUGUGUAUUUAAUAAAACGCUUAACCCCAUUAUAAUAAUUUAUUUCGCGCAACCUUUAAGGUGAAACUCGAUACAUCCAAGGACGAUCGACAAUUACAUAUAUGAAACCUAUAUAGAAUAUUAAUGACAACAUGUAUUAAUUAAUAAUGUGAACUAAAGAAAUUAUCGAUGCCCAACUAAUUAACUAUCAUUAGUUUAACUCAAAUUUAUUCACUCUAUUUUAACAGUACCCUUAAAUCAUUAUUAAUUUUCUACAAAAGCUCAAAUUCCUUCAAAUUUGUUGAGAUUUUCAAUUUAACAAAAAAUUGAUAAAAUAUGAAAUGUACCUAUUAAAUAAGCCAUUAUUUAUGUCAUCAUGUAAUUUUUUAUUCUUUCUUUAUUUUUGUGUAGUAAAAAACUAAAUGAAAUUAUGGAAAAAAUAAAAUGAAAGAAGAAUAAAUUGAAAUUUGGUUCAAGACAACACAUAUUAAAAGCUUUGAGUAUUAAUGAGGGUGAAAUUAUAAAUCUAGGAGUUAAUUUUGGUAGAAAUUCAUAGAAUUAAAUAGUUUAGAGACUUAAUUGAACUUUGAAUAGUUUAAUUAAUGAAAUCAGGGGCUUAAUUGAAGAAAUACCAAUGUUUGGGGGCUGAUUUGGGUCAAAAUUGCAAGAAUUGAAGUCCAAGGACCAAAGUGAAAAUUCAGGGGUACAAUAGGUAGUUUAAUUGAUUUUUUCAAGUAUAAUUUUGAAAGAAUUAAAAGUUAAAGAGUCAAUUAAGAACUAAAUUAGAAACCAAGGACUCUUUUGUAAAUACUGCUGGCAUGCAGGGGUCCAAUUCCAAUUAAUCCAGGGGCAAAAAUUUUUUAAAAAAAGAAGAAGAAGAAAUUUCCUUGAAUAAGGGCCUGAUUGCAAGAUAUCAGAACUUUAGUGUCCAAAUUGAAGAAUGACCAACUCAAUCGAAAACAAUGUCGUUUCUACAUGUACUGUUUCUUCUUCUUGUUCCUUUGGAACUGAAAAUCUGCCUGCGAAAAAAAGGAAAGAAGAGCGAAAUGAUGGUGUCCCCAUCCUACCCAACACCACAGCCAAGGUCACCCUAUACGGUUGGACUAGAUCCAGCCCAAAAAUGACAGAUAUUUGUUUUUUCUAUCAUAGAAAAUUAAAGGCCACCGUGAUGUAUCAGUGUGACAAUUUAUUUUAUUAUAAAACACUUAAGUUACAAAAUCAACCUCAUUUCCAUCAAAUGACAAGCAAAUAUAAUUUUUUAAAAUUUCAAACAAACCAUAGCAUGCACAAAUCAUAUAAUAAAUUUAUAUGGAAAAACGCUAUAAAACAAGUAAACACACAAACAAAUUACAUAUACUACAUCAAAAUGCAACAACAAAAAAAUCAAUAUUUUGAAAAUGGGUUACAACAAAAAAAGGGUAGUUUUGUUACUUGAUGUGGUGAAUAUUCAAAAAACAUUGAACCAGAAUAGGGUUACUGACAAACUUAGUGUUGGGGUGACUAGAUUCAUAAUGAUGAUAGCUUGAUUUGUGACAAAAUAUGUGGGUAUUGUGUGUUGUUUUCUGCAAAAUGAAAAGGAAGAAGAAGAAAUUAGGGAGGAGGAGAGGAGGGUCGUCUAUCAAGAUAUAACAUAAAUAUUAUCGACAGACGACGAGUAUUAGUAAAGAGUAUAUUUUCUCGGUAAUUCCAUUUGUAAUAAUGGCACUUUAUUUUUUUCAUUCAUUCAUUUUUUACUGUAUUUUUCUUAGUAUUCACCGAUGAAAAAUUUAUAUCAGUAUAUACUGAGAGAAAUAGCGAGGAAAUAUUCCGUUAAUAAAAGUCAUUGUGAUUUAUUGACGAGUUUUUUUUUUUAGUAUUUCUAUUUAUAUUUGACAAUUUUCUAAUUGUGAUAUAUAUUGGACAAUGAACCGUGAAUCGCUGUCUCUCUUCUAAUUUAAUUUUAAUUUUGUAAGUUUGAUGAAAACAGUGGCAAAACCGCCAAACCUCAAGAAUGGUGUUUCCUUGUGAUCAUUUUUAUUUUAAACAUUUUUCAACAUUCUUCCUCAACAAAUUGGACUAUUUAAUGCAAAGCUUUUAUUUAUAAUAAAAAAACCGCACCGCAAGACAGCAUGACAUUUCUUUAUUUAGCUAAAGUAUUAAAACAAAAAGUCCCUGCUCCUAUAUAUCAUGACUUGUGAGAAUAGUGAUCCAACUAAGCUUUGCUGGAGAUGAAUUCCACUUCAUUUCUUAAUCCCAUUUGUUGUGGAAGAGGUGGGAUGCUUUGUUCGUGUCUGAAGAAAUUAUCAGGAUCAACUUUGGUCUUCACAUGCACCAACCUGUAGAAGUUAUCCUUGAAGUAGUUGGUACCAAAAGCACUCGCUUCGACAAAACUUGUUUUAGAAUUUCUGUUCAUGCCCAAAUCAAGAUCCCUGUAAUUAGCAUAUGCUUCCCUAGGAUUCUUUGAGACAUAAGGUGUCAUGUAACUGUAAACCUUCCUAGUCCAAUUUAUAUGCUUUGCAACGUUUUCCGUUGCAUCUUGCCAACUGGACCAGUAAAGGAUCAUGAACUUGGUACCGUUUCUAUGAGGGAAAGGAGUCUGAGAUUCUGAAAUUUGGUUCAUCAUCCCACCAUAAGGAGUAAACACUACUAGAGGACUCUCUGCUUCAAAUAACUUCUCCCACAACCCUUCAAGUGCCUUUUCAGGUAUGGGUUUUCUGGCAUAGUCAGAUUUGCCUUUGAAGUAGGCCCUGUCCAUGUUAAUUCUUUGAAGGAAAACUUCAGGAGNNNNNNNNNNNNNNNNNNNNNNNNNNNNNNNNNNNNNNNNNNNNNNNNNNNNNNNNNNNNNNNNNNNNNNNNNNNNNNNNNNNNNNNNNNNNNNNNNNNNNNNNNNNNNNNNNNNNNNNNNNNNNNNNNNNNNNNNNNNNNNNNNNNNNNNNNNNNNNNNNNNNNNNNNNNNNNNNNNNNNNNNNNNNNNNNNNNNNNNNNNNNNNNNNNNNNNNNNNNNNNNNNNNNNNNNNNNNNNNNNNNNNNNNNNNNNNNNNNNNNNNNNNNNNNNNNNNNNNNNNNNNNNNNNNNNNGUAAUAGCUAGUUGAAUAAAAUUAUUAAUAUUAAAAAAUAAAUUUAAAAUAAUAUUUAAAUAUGCACACUGACCAACUAAACUAUUUGCAUGCAAAUUUGUUGUCAUAUGAAAUAAAUAAAUAUAUCAUGUGGAAUAAAUAAAUAUACUAACCUGCUUCAAUUUAUUAUAAUUUUAGAGUUUUAAUGAUGGAGAAAUAUAUCAUAUUAUAUAGUCCAAGAUUCAACGGAUCAUCUAAUAUAUAUAUAUAUACCAGAUUUGAACCUCCAACAUUUAAAUUUUUUGCUUUUCUCAGAAAUUCUGUAGGAAAGUUCGCCAUUCGUGGCUCCCGCCUGAACCCACGCGCUGUUGUGCUCAAUCAACGCUGAUAGACCGUAGCUUUGCAAGGUCUACAACAAUGAAAGAUGUCUCAAUUUCUGAUACAUAAGAGAGUCCCUCAUAAUCAUGGCCUCCGCUACGGACUCUAAUGUGAAUUCCAAGCUGCUUAGAGCAAAUAACAACAGCUUGGAUGUGAGAUUCUUGUAAAGGAGUGAAGAUAAACUCGGGUUUCGGUACUGGAGGCAAGGUGAACCUGAGGUUUUGAGCAGAAGAUUGUAAGACACUAGUGAAAGAAGAGUUUUGUGGAGCAUACAAGACAGUGGAAAAAGGAAAGGAGUAGGACCACAAGUAUUGAAAGUAUGGAAGAUCUUGAAGGCACCAUUUUUCCUGCUUUCUUGCCUCUCUGGCUUGCCUUUAAGAAUUGAUGUCUCAAGGAGUUCUUUUAUAGAGGAGCUAUGAACAAUCAACAGGAAAUUAAAUUAUUUUGUAGCUCGUUUUGUGCAGUGAGAUAUUUACUUGUGAUAUUACAAUGGGAUUAUAUAAAUUUGAAUGAUUCAUAUUCCAUGCAAUAUAGUCAAACUUUUAGACUUUAAAUGUUUAAUUAAUUAAACACAUCUUCCAAUCAUAUUAUACAUAUCAUUAUAGCUAAAGUGAAUAAAUCAAAAAAUUGAGGAUUGAUUUGGAAAUUAACAUAUUUUGGCAUCAUUUUCUUUAAAAUGAAACGACGUGUUUUGUUCAAAACGACACACUUUCAUGUACUGUUUUGAACGACAUUGUAUAUCUUUUUCUUCCCUGACGUGCAAAGGCAAGGGAAGAAGGUUUUUCUUCCCCUCCUUUGCAGCACCCAUAUUCCCUCUUUCUCCCUCUCCCCACUUGUCCAAACCCUGACACAACUCACACCCCUCACCUGCCACCAUGAUGAAGAUUGGACAAGGAAGCGAUACUCUGCAGCUGAGGCGACUGCACAGAGGCCACCCCAGCCACCCUACCUUGUCUCCAUGAUUCGACAAAGGUAGGGUAGCUCCCGCUUCCCCUAUCAUAUAAAUACCCCACUCAACAAGCCGAGAGCAGGGGGGAAAGAAAAACGGGGGAAACAGAAAAGAGAGACGAAAGAGAGAGAAGGAGGGAAGAAAAAGAACAAAACAAACCAAAGGAAAAAAAAUAGAGAAACAGAGACAGAGAGGAGAGAAACAGAGGGAUUGGGAAGGAACAAGAAGCAAAGGAAAAGGAAAGACAGAAAAAGGGUGGAGAAAUAAAGAAAAAAAAACCGAGGGAAGAAGAAACACACAAAAACAAAGGAAAAAAAGAAGAAGAAUCGUCGUUUGGAACAACCAUCCACCACGACAUCAUCGUCACCGAGAGCCACCAGCACCGUCAAUGCCGUCAGUAGGUCAGCCCCCCUCUUCUCCUUCUUCUUCUGCUCAUUUUCUCGUGUCUACUGCCUUGUAGAGCGAACAGUGAAGAGUUGCUCCACUGUUAACUAGGUCGAACAACGCCGAUCCAGAUCAAAAUGGAUGGGCCGGGUCCUGCCCAAUCCGAAAGGAAAAAAAACAUCUGGUGGGCCAAAUCGAGCCAACCCCAAUACCUUGGGCCGAACUCAGCGUAAUUUAUUCUGGGCUGAUUUCGGCCCAGUCAGGAUGGGCUCAGCCAAAUGUAAUUGGGCUAAGCCAAUCCCAAUAUAUUGGUAUAAUAAUGUUAUAUAAUAUAAUAUUAUAUAUUAAAAAAAAGUUUUUUUUAAAAAAAUUCUAAAUCCUUUGAAAAACUUCUUUGGGAUUUUCUCACAAGUUUUUUUUUAUCAUUUUGGGUUCAUAUCGAUUUGUAUUUGUAUACUGUAAAGAUAUAGAUCUGAUAAUAAAAUAUCUGGUUUUGUUUGAAAUAUUGCAAAAAAAUUAUAUCAAAAACAAAAAAAAAUAUUUUUUUUCAUGCAUACGGCCAACUCUGUCAAAAAAUAAAAAAACAUCAUAUUGUACUUUCAUACAACAAAAACAAUUACAGAAAAUGUUUAGCAUGUAUUUUGGCUUUAAUAACCAGUUUAUUAAAGUCAUGAGAAGUAAGCCAACAUUUUAAAAAUACCCAAAAAAUAUUUUUAUUUUUUUAGUAACUGGGAUUCUGAAUUUAUAUGUAAAACGUAUUCCCGAUGUUAAAAUGUAUUUUUUUAUAGACAUUAGAACGGUUAGGUUCUUACCUAAUAAGAUAAGGACCUCUUUACCGAGCAGGACUUUUCUUAACUCAUAGACAGACCAAUAAUUAGAAAACACAACAAGACCUUAGUUUUUUUUAUUAAACGAUAAACAAUGCAGCUUACCUUAGGUAGGGCUUAUUAGGGGUGCUAAUACAUUCCCUUUAUGCAACCAGUCUUCAUGCCCGAUCCCUGAGACCAGUUAGGGUUUCUGAUGAUCAAAAUACUAGGUGGCGACUCUCAUUUCCCUUUUUCAUGGAUGAAAGACAAGAAAUCCUUGUCUACUCUAUUUUUCAAUUUCCAAAUACUUAAAAGAGUGGACGAUUGUUGCGAUGCCGCACACGUGUGACAGACCACAUGGACCACCAAGGGUUAACAAUAACUGCUCAUACAAUCACCUAAGUUGAGUCGUCAUGUACCAAAGUUAAGCCAUCUCAGAACUAAGCUGGGAUGUCUGAGCCUUAACUUAUUCUCGUACAAUCGCCUAGAUGACUAAAGAUUGGGGGCGUAAACCCAAUUACGAGGAACAAAAGGUCGAUACACUAGGACUCAUCUGUAUAUCCUUAAUCAUAGUGUUAGAGAUACCAUAAAUUCAAUUUAUAUCGAGUCCACCAGACGAUCCAGCGUCCAACCACAAAUCCAAAUCGAGUUUUGGAUGGGUCGAAGGAUCAUCCUUGUAUCUCUCCUGCAAACGGGUAUUAUAUGUUUCCUGAAAAAAGAAAAAAAACAAUCAACAAAUUAAAAAAAUAAUAACAUAAUAAAAAAAAUUGUUAAAAUUCAAUUUACCAUGAACUUUUGAGCUUGGCUAUCCACAAGCUAUUAUACCCCUUUCCAUCAGUUGUCAUUUUGCAUGUGAGUUUUAACAAAAAGAUUUAUCGGUCUUGGAUCAUGUCCAAGAACUGUAACCUGCAAAAGAGAGUUACUGUUUGUUAAACAUUAAAUAUUUUAUAUAAAACAACAAUCUAAAAAAAAUAUACAUAAUAAAACAAUAUCUUACCAUCCUCUUUACAAGCGAAAUGAACAAAAUGAAUUUAGUAAGAGUUUAGACACAUGUCAAUUAACUAGUAUUCUAGGCCAAAGGGUUUCAUCAUGGAUUUAGCAGUAUAUAAGUUCGCUUUCAGCCUAUUCCCUUUAGAUAAAAUGCUUCUUGUUCAUUCGAUCAUUUUGUCGUAACCGCCCUAGCUCAACCCAUGAUCUAACUUAAUGGUGAACACCUGUGCAACAAUCGAUAAUUUACUAUGAUUUGUGGAACCAUACCAUAAUGGUUCGUCAAAAUCUUUCAAUUAGUUCUUCAUCUACAAUUGAACAUUCACAUGCAUUACCCUAAUUCAUUCUCAUUGCAUCCAUAAUCAUACUCCUAUAACGAUUAUUAUUAUCAUUUACAAUUCCAUUAUUGCUAGAACUAAAAGUCGACCCAAGCAUCCUUUAUACCAUGAUCUUGUACAGAACAUAUGAUUCUACAUGUGCAAACCAACACAAGUACUUCUUUAAGCACUUUUUUUUUCUAGAAGAUGUAUCGUAAUAACAUCUAGAUCGAGAAACUUUUAUUUUUACACCUUUUACAUGGAAAUUUAAUACCGCAUCCACUAAUAUUUUUGGAUUAGAUAGUGUGUAUUUAAUAAAACGCUUAACCCCAUUAUAAUAAUUUAUUUCGCGCAACCUUUAAGGUGAAACUCGAUACAUCCAAGGACGAUCGACAAUUACAUAUAUGAAACCUAUAUAGAAUAUUAAUGACAACAUGUAUUAAUUAAUAAUGUGAACUAAAGAAAUUAUCGAUGCCCAACUAAUUAACUAUCAUUAGUUUAACUCAAAUUUAUUCACUCUAUUUUAACAGUACCCUUAAAUCAUUAUUAAUUUUCUACAAAAGCUCAAAUUCCUUCAAAUUUGUUGAGAUUUUCAAUUUAACAAAAAAUUGAUAAAAUAUGAAAUGUACCUAUUAAAUAAGCCAUUAUUUAUGUCAUCAUGUAAUUUUUUAUUCUUUCUUUAUUUUUGUGUAGUAAAAAACUAAAUGAAAUUAUGGAAAAAAUAAAAUGAAAGAAGAAUAAAUUGAAAUUUGGUUCAAGACAACACAAAUUAAAAGCUUUGAGUAUUAAUGAGGGUGAAAUUAUAAAUCUAGGAGUUAAUUUUGGUAGAAAUUCAAAGAAUUAAUAAGUUUAGAGACUUAAUUGAACUUUGAAUAGUUUAAUUAAUGAAAUCAGGGGCUUAAUUGAAGAAAUACCAAUGUUUGGGGGCUGAUUUGGGUCAAAAUUGCAAGAAUUGAAGUCCAAGGACCAAAGUGAAAAUUCAGGGGUACAAUAGGUAGUUUAAUUGAUUUUUUCAAGGGUAAUUUUGAAAGAAUUAAAAGUUAAAGAGUCAAUUAAGAACUGAAUUAGAAACUAAGGACUCUUUUGUAAAUAGCGUUGGAAUGCAAGGGUCCAAUUGCAAUUAAUCCAGGAGCAAAAAAAAAAAUAUAAUGAAGAAGAAAUUUCCUUAAAUAAGGGCCUGAUUGAAAGAUAUCAGAACUUCAGUGUCCAAAUUGAAGAAUGACCAACUCAGUCGAAAACAAUAUUGUUUCUACAUGUACUGUUUCUUCUUCUUGUUCCUCUGGAACUGAAAAUCCGCCUACGAAAAAGGGAAAGAAGAGUGAAAUGAUGGUGUCCCCAUCCUACCCAACACCACAGCCAAGGUCACCCCAUAUGGCUGGGCUAGAUCCAACCAAAAAAUGACAGAUAUUUGUUGUUUCUAUCAUAGAAAAUUAAAGGCCACCAUGAUGUCUCUGUGUGACAAUUUAUUUUAUUAUAAAACACAUAAGUUACAAAAUCAAACUCAUUUUCAUCAAAUGACAAACAAAUAUAAUUUUUUAAAAUUUCAAACAAACCAUAACAUGCACAAAUCAUAUAAUAAAUUUAUAUGGAAAAACGCUAUAAAACAAGUAAACACACAAACGAAUUACAUAUACUACAUCAAAAUGCAAAAAAAAAAAAUCAAUAUUUUGAAAAUGGAUUACAAAAAAAAAAAAAAGGUAGUUUUGUUACUUGAUGUGGUGAAUAUUCAAAAAACAUUGAACCAGAAUAGGGUUACUGACAAACUUAGUGUUGGGGUGACUAGAUUCAUAAUGAUGAUAGCUUGAUUUGUGACAAAAUAUGUGGGUAUUGUGUGUUGUUUUCUACAAAAUGAAAAGGAAGAAGAAGAAAUUAGGGAGGAGGAGAGGAGGGUUGUCUAUCAAGAUAUAACAUAAAUAUUAUCGACAGACGACGAGUAUUAAUAAAGAGUAUAUUUUCUCGGUAAUUCCAUUUGUAAUAAUGGCACUUUAUUUUUUUCAUUCAUUCAUUUCUUACUGUAUUUUUCUUAGUAUUCACCGAUGAAAAAUUUAUAUCAGUAUAUACUGAGAGAAAUAGCGAGGAAAUAUUCCGUUAAUAAAAGUCAUUGUGAUUUAUUGACGAGUUUUUUUUUUUAGUAUUUCUAUUUAUAUUUGACAAUUUUCUAAUUGUGAUAUAUAUUGGACAAUGAACCGUGAAUCGCUGUCUCUCUUCUAAUUUAAUUUUAAUUUUGUAAGUUUGAUGAAAACAGUGGCAAAACCGCCAAACCUCAAGAAUGGUGUUUCCUUGUGAUCAUUUUUAUUUUAAACAUUUUUCAACAUUCUUCCUCAACAAAUUGGACUAUUUAAUGCAAAGCUUUUAUUUAUAAUAAAAAAACCGCAAGACAGCAUAAUUGCACAGCAUGACAUUUCUUUAUUUAGCUAAAGUAUUAAAACAAAAGGUCCCUGCUCCUAUCAUGACUUGUGAGAAUAGUGAUCCAACUAAGCUUUGCUGGAGAUGAAUUCCACUUCAUUUCUUAAUCCCAUUUGUUGUGGAAGAGGUGGGAUGCUUUGUUCGUGUCUGAAGAAAUUAUCAGGAUCAACUUUGGUCUUCACAUGCACCAACCUGUUGAAGUUAUCCUUGAAGUAGUUGGUACCAAAAGCACUCGCUUCGACAAAACUUGUUUUAGAAUUUCUGUUCAUGCCCAAAUCAAGAUCCCUGUAAUUAGCAUAUGCUUCCCUAGGAUUCUUUGAGACAUAAGGUGUCAUGUAACUGUAAACCUUCCUAGUCCAAUUUAUAUGCUUUGCAACGUUUUCCGUUGCAUCUUGCCAACUGGACCAGUAAAGGAUCAUGAACUUGGUACCUUUUCUAUGAGGGAAAGGAGUCUGAGAUUCUGAAAUUUGGUUCAUCAUGCCACCAUAAGGAGUAAACACUACUAGAGGACUCUCUGCUUCAAAUAACUUCUCCCACAACCCUUCAAGUGCCUUUUCAGGUAUGGGUUUUCUGGCAUAGUCAGAUUUGCCUUUGAAGUAGGCCCUGUCCAUGUUAAUUCUUUGAAGGAGAACUUCAGGAGGAGUAUUAUUUGCAAAGCCUGACAUGUAUACAGUAGAAUUGAUCCAGUUUGUUUCGAUACAAUCCUGUCGUGUCAAACCCAAUUCAGGGAAGCUGUGUUUCAUUACCUGGAGAAGUCUGUUGGCGUCACCAAGAAACAUGGCAUUGUAAGAGGUGGUGAUAGUUCUUUUACCUUGACUACUGACAUUAGCUGUCCGAAUUUGAACUCUGAUGAAUAGAUCCUCGUCUAGAUGAUCAGCAAUUUCUUGCCAUCUAUAGAGGAGUUUAGUUGCACCUUGUUCUAACGUCUUGGUAACUGUGAAUACUGUCACAGCUGAUGGUACAGGAACUAAUUUUACCUUCCAGGCGGUGACGAUUCCGAAGCUGCCACCUGCGCCUCCUCUGAUGGCCCAAAAAAGAUCUUCGCCCAUGGCUUUUCGGUCUAGAAGUCUUCCAUGAACAUCAAUUAUAUGUGCAUCAACGACAUUGUCGACUGCAAGGCCAUAUUUUCGCAACAUGGCACCAUAUGCACCUCCUGAAAUGUGCCCGCCCAUGCCUAAACUUGUGCAAGUACCAGCUGGGAAGCCAUGAAUUUUGCUUUUCUCAGAAAUUCUGUAGUAAAGUUCGCCAUUCGUGGAACCCGCCUGAACCCACGCGCUGUUGUGCUCAAUAUCAACGCUGAUGGACCGGAACUUGGCAAGGUCCACAACGAUGAAAGGUGACUCAAUUUCUGAAACAUAAGAGAGUGCCUCAAAAUCAUGGCCUCCGCUACGGACUCUAAGGUGAAUUCCAAGCUGCUUAGAGCAAAUAACAACUGCUUGGAUGUGAGAUUCUUGUAAAGGAGUGAAGAUAAACUCAGGUUUCGGUACUGCAGGCAAGGUGAACCUGAGGUUUUGAGCAGAAGAUUGUAAAACACUAGUGAAGGAAGAGUUUUUUGGAGUAUACAAGACAGUGGAAAAAGGAAAGGAUGAUUCUGAAGUUCUUGAGAGACAUUUC